UGUUAAGCAUGGUAUGCUCAAAGUAAUUUCAAAGAUGAUAGAAGAAAAUGAAAAGCUUAGAAUGAGAUUGACCUGCAGUCAGCAAUGCAGAGCAACACAAAAAAAUAAAAAAAAACAGAAUAAAACUGUUUUAGAGAAUGUGGGUGAGACUGUCUUUGGAUGGGUAUGAGACUGGCAUAGAAUGGAUACAGAAAGAAGUUUCAAGAUUCAUAGUGGAGAUCCUUAAAUGAUAGCAGACUUUACUUUGAAUGCUGUUUGUUACCAUUUUAUUUAAAAAAAUAUAUAAACGUGAGCCUGCAUUCAUAGCUGUGUCAUCAAAGAAAGUGUAAAAUUUGCAGCUCCAAAUUUAUUUUGUAAACUAUAUCUAGAAACUCUAGAAAAGUGUAUGUUUAAUUUUUGUUUGAAUAAUAUACAUUUAAAACUUA